rnacentral:rRNA from 1 species
AUUGAACGCUGGCGGCAGGCCUAACACAUGCAAGUCGAACGGUAACACGAAGAAGCUUGCUUCUUUGCUGACGAGUGGCGGACGGGUGAGUAAUGUCUGGGAAACUGCCUGAUGGAGGGGGAUAACUACUGGAAACGGUAGCUAAUACCGCAUAACGUCGCAAGACCAAAAAGGGGGACCUUCGGGCCUCUUGCCAUCGGAUGUGCCCAGAUGGGAUUAGCUAGUAGGUGGGGUAACGGCUCACCUAGGCGACGAUCCCUAGCUGGUCUGAGAGGAUGACCAGCCACACUGGAACUGAGACACGGUCCAGACUCCUACGGGAGGCAGCAGUGGGGAAUAUUGCACAAUGGGCGCAAGCCUGAUGCAGCCAUGCCGCGUGUAUGAAGAAGGCCUUCGGGUUGUAAAGUACUUUCAGCGGGGAGGAAGGGAGUAAAGUUAAUACCUUUGCUCAUUGACGUUACCCGCAGAAGAAGCACCGGCUAACUCCGUG